rnacentral:rRNA from 1 species
AUCCGGUGGUUCUGCGUGGAAGGGCCAUCGCUCAACGGAUAAAAGCUACCCUGGGGAUAACAGGCUUAUCUCCCCCAAGAGUCCACAUCGACGGGGAGGUUUGGCACCUCGAUGUCGGCUCAUCACAUCCUGGGGCUGUAGUAGGUCCCCAGGGUUGGGCUGUUCGCCCAUCACAGUGGUACGCGAGCUGGGUUCAGAACGUCGUGAGACAGUUCGGUCCCUAUCCGUCGCAGGCGUCGGCACUUUGAGAAGACCUGUCCUUAGUCCGAGAGGACCGGGAGGGACGUACCUCUGGUGGACCAGUUGUCCUGCCCAGGGCAUGGCUGGGUAGCU